ACUCCUGCGGGAGGCAGCAGUAGGGAAUCUUCCACAAUGGGUGCAAACCUGAUGGAGCAAUGCCGCGUGAGUGAAGAAGGUCUUCGGAUCGUAAAGCUCUGUUGUUAGAGAAGAACACGUGCUAGGUAACUACUAGCGCCUUGACGGUAUCUAACCAGAAAGUCACGGCUAACUACGUGCCAGCAGCCGCGGUAAUACGUAGGUGACAAGCGUUGUCCGGAUUUAUUGGGCGUAAAGGGAGCGCAGGCGGUCUGUUUAGUCUAAUGUGAAAGCCCACGGCUUAACCGUGGAACGGCAUUGGAAACUGACAGACUUGAAUGUAGAAGAGGAAAAUGGAAUUCCAAGUGGAGCGGUGGAAUGCGUAGAUAUUUGGAGGAACACCAGUGGCGAAGGCGAUUUUCUGGUCUAACAUUGACGCUGAGGCUCGAAAGCGUGGGGAGCGAACAGGAUUAGAAACCCCAGUAGUCCC
rnacentral:rRNA from 1 species